rnacentral:rRNA from 1 species
AUACGGAGGAUCCGAGCGUUAUCCGGAUUUAUUGGGUUUAAAGGGUGCGUAGGUGGGCCUGUAAGUCAGUGGUGAAAGUUUGCAGCUUAACUGUAAAAUUGCCGUUGAAACUGCCGGUCUUGAGUGCAAAUGAGGUAAGCGGAAUGUGUUGUGUAGCGGUGAAAUGCUUAGAUAUGACACAGAACACCGAUUGCGAAGGCAGCUUACUGGGAUGCCACUGACACUGAGGCACGAAAGCGUGGGUAUCAAACAGGAUUAGAUACCCUGGUAGUCCACGCAGUAAACGAUGAAUACUAGUUGUCUGCGAUAUAUUGUAGGUGACACAGCGAAAGCGUUAAGUAUUCCACCUGGGGAGUACGUUCGCAAGAAUGAAACUCAAAUGAAUUGACGGGG